rnacentral:rRNA from 1 species
UACGUAGGUGGCAAGCGUUGUCCGGAUUUACUGGGCGUAAAGGGCGUGCAGGCGGUCUGUCGCGUCGGCUGUGAAAUCCCGAGGCUCAACCUCGGGUCUGCAGUCGAUACGGGCAAACUAGAGUAUUGCAGGGGAGACUGGAAUUCCUGGUGUAGCGGUGAAAUGCGCAGAUAUCAGGAGGAACACCGGUGGCGAAGGCGGGUCUCUGGGCAAUAACUGACGCUGAGGAGCGAAAGCGUGGGGAGCGAACAGG